rnacentral:pre_miRNA from 1 species
UGUGUGUUUACAUGUGUUUGCAUGUGCAUGUUUGUGUGUGCAUGUGUCUGCACAUGCGCA